rnacentral:rRNA from 1 species
UACGAAGGGGGCUAGCGUUGCUCGGAAUCACUGGGCGUAAAGCGCACGUAGGCGGAUUGUUAAGUCAGGGGUGAAACUCCUGGAGCUCAACUCCAGAAUUGCCUUUGAUACUGGCGGAUCGUCGAGUCCGGGAGAGGUGAGUGGAACUGCGAGUGUAGAGGUGAAAUUCGUAGAUAUUCGGAAGAACACCAGUGGCGAAGGCGGUCCCCUGGGCCGGAACUGACGCUGAGGCGGCGAAAGCGGUGGGUAGCAAACGGG